AUGCUGUUUUACAUGGGAGGUAUUGGCCUCCUUCAUCCGCCGGAUUCGACCAUCCCCUUUUGUUCACCUCCGCCACCUGAGGCCGUUCACCACUGCCACCAGUUCCCGUUCAACACCGCCCGCGCAAUCUCACGUGUCAACGACACCCCUGUCUACCCCACGCGAAGCUUCAACAGCAGAUUAUCAUCUAUCCAAUACAGAAGGAAAAUAGAGUUGGGAGUGGACGACCUUGAGCUUGUCCAGCCACCUUCAUUGUGCUUCUCCAUUGUGUAUUGCACAGUACAUGUAUUACUACUAGGAAUGUUCAGAAAUCAGAACUCAAAGAAGUAUUGA
rnacentral:rRNA from 1 species